GUGUGUGAUUUCGGAGUGGGAAUGGGCCAAAAAAACUACAAAAAAAGGCACUGAGAUAUUGAAGCAGGUUUUAAUCAGAUUGGUUGUUGCUGGGUUAUUUCUCAAUUACACUGAAAUGUCGCAUAUCAUAAUUUAAAGCCACACUUCGGCUUUUAGUAAGAUCCUUGGAUCUUAAUGACGUCUCUCCAGCUCUUUAAUUUCUCCCUCCUCAACAGCACCCCUGCAGAUAAUAUCUCUGUUCUUUAGACAUAUCUUGUGCAUCUAUUUUUAGUUCUUUUUUAUUUUUCGGUUUCAGUUUCUCAGCUCCAUCUUUUCAGAACUUUUUUCCACACUAAACUCGAGCGCCGGAGCGCGCAGGGAAGGUAGGGGAGGUCCCGGUUGCGUAAAGAUAUUUUAUUGGACGACACAGUGUCGAUAAUGAAAAUGAACGAAUAGGCUGCUCACUCUUCGGGGGCCCUUGAACUGAUCCAUCGCCCUGCCUGUGAAAUUCCCUGUGUGCCAAAUUACCACUCCAGCCCUGGUAACAAAACCGAAGGAGCUCUUCAGACUCACACACCAGACAAACACAAUGUGCAAGUACAGCUUGUCCGUCCGCUCACCUGCAGGUGAGUUGGGGGUUAUCAAAUUAAAUCACUCCAAAAAGCAGCAGAAGACCGUGAAAGACUUGAAGAUGAAAGCAGCGCAACUGUUUCCAAAGAAAGGAUAUCUUAUGGCUGAAUUCCGGCUGAUUGUCUCAGGAAAGCCGCUGGACGAUGACUCUGCAUCUCUGUCGGAGUAUGGGAUCAAACCCUCGUCUGUGGUGCAGAUGGUGGCGAAGGUCCACGGAGGCUGACAGAUAUCAUCAUCGAUGAACUUAACUCCACCCAAAAGAUUCACCUCAGGACUGGAAUGUGAUACACCAAAGGACGCAAUGCAUCAUCUUUGCUAGCUGGGACUGUGUCAUCUUUGAUCUUUGGUUCUCUUCUACACUUUUGUAUCCUCCUUUAGAUUUUAAGACUUUUAUCAUACCUAUAUAGACUUCAGCACUAAUUUAUUAUCACAAGUUGUAAAUGAUGCACAAAUGGGGCAUAAUAACAUUUCUUUUUUUUAUUUCUCUUUUUGUUUCGUUGCUAGCCUGUGUAACUUACUAGUAGUUGAAAUACCAAAAGCUGACAACAAAUGUACGGUUACGCAGCAGCCCCAUGAAUAUCAAUGUUCCUAAAAAAAAGUGAUGAAAUCAUUGGUUAAUAUUUAGUUAUCUUGACUUUCCAGCUGAUUCUCAUAAAUGCUCUGCUUUCAUCUUGUUUAAAAAUAAAUGCAAUGAUUGUUGAAUUUAA